rnacentral:misc_RNA from 1 species
UGUCUGGAGAUUUCGAGCUGUUAACAUAGAGAGUGGCUUCUCAGGCUUCUCUGCAGCAUGGGUGUUCCUGCCUUGGCCAGAGCCGAAAUCCCAKARCAGUGAAAGAGGAGCCAGUGUCA